UACGUAGGGGGCAAGCGUUGUCCGGAUUUAUUGGGCGUAAAGCGCUCGCAGGUGGUUCGUCGCGUCGUGCGUGAAAGACCCCGGCUCAACUGGGGGAGGUCGUGCGAUACGGGCGAACUGGAGGCCAGUAGGGGGAUGCGGAAUUCCGGGUGUAGUGGUGGAAUGCGUAGAGAUCCGGAGGAACACCAGCGGCGAAGGCGGCAUCCUGGACUGGUCCUGACACUCAUGCACGAAAGCGUGGGGAGCAAACAGG
rnacentral:rRNA from 1 species